rnacentral:rRNA from 1 species
GACAGGAGGGUGCAAACGUUGUUCGGAAUUACUGGGCGUAAAGCGCGUGUAGGCGGCCCUGCAAGUCGGAUGUGAAAUCCCACGGCUCAACCGUGGAAGUGCAUUCGAAACUGCAGGGCUAGAGUCCUGGAGAGGAAGGUGGAAUGCUUGGUGUAGAGGUGAAAUUCGUAGAUAUCAAGCGGAACACCGGUGGCGAAGGCGGCCUUCUGGACAGUGACGUGACGCUGAGACGCGAAGGCCAGGGGAGCAAAGCGGG